AGUGUUCCCUGGGAAAGGUGAAAAUAGUGAGGAAAAAUAGAAACGGGAAGCAGGAGCGCGGAGACGAGGCGUGUCCCAGGUUCCCUGAAACAGCGGGGGCCUUGGCGGUGGCGGUGGCGGUGAAUCAGGAAAGGGUUGAGGUUGAGGAGGGUGGCCCGUAGGACGAGAGGAGAGCUUUGAUGGCAGUAGUUGGGCCCAGCCGGCACUCGCGGGUGUCCAUGAGCGUGUCUAUGUCGCUGAUGCAGGGGGGUGGGGCGGGGGCGACGGGGGGCGGCGGGACAACGGGGGCCCACCCGGGGCAAGCGGUCCUCGCUGCGGCGGCCGCGGCAGCGGCUGCGGCCCAAGCACCCCCCACCUACUACCACCCCGCCGCUCCUGCGCCCCCGCCACCGCCGCCGGCCCAGGAUCCCGUUCAGCCCGACAGACCCAUCGGAUAUGGUGCCUUCGGCGUCGUCUGGGCGGUCACGGAUCCGAGGGACGGUAGGAGAGUGGCUUUGAAAAAACUGCCAAACGUCUUUCAGAGCCUCGUGAGCAGCAAACGAGUCUUCAGGGAGCUGAAAAUGCUCUGCUUCUUCAAACACGAAAACGUCCUCUCGGCCCUGGACAUCCUGCAGCCACCGCACCUGGACUUCUUCCAAGAAAUAUACGUGAUCACGGAGCUGCUACAGAGCGAUCUACACAAGAUCAUCGUCAGUCCGCAGCAUCUCAGCCCCGACCACAUCAAGGUCUUCCUGUACCAGAUACUACGAGGUCUCAAGUACCUUCACUCGGCCAGAAUCCUACACAGGGACAUCAAGCCGGGUAACCUGCUCGUCAACAGCAACUGCGUGCUGAAGAUCUGCGACUUCGGACUGGCCCGUGUGGAGGAGCCCGACCAGAACAAGCACAUGACCCAGGAAGUGGUGACGCAGUAUUAUCGCGCGCCGGAAAUCCUGAUGGGAGCGCGGCACUACACGGCCGCCGUGGACGUCUGGAGCGUUGGGUGCAUUUUCGGCGAGCUCCUGCGUAGGCGGAUCCUCUUCCAGGCGCAGAGUCCUGUGCAACAGCUGGAGCUGAUCACGGAAUUGCUGGGCACACCGACCCUCGAGGACAUGAGGUACGCGUGCGAGGGUGCGAGAUCCCACAUGCUGAGGCGCGCACCGAAGCCACCCUCGCUGACGGCCCUCUACACCCUCAGCAGCCAGGCGACGCACGAGGCCGUCCAUUUGCUCUGCCAGAUGCUAGUCUUCGAUCCCGACAAGAGGAUCACCGUGGUGGAUGCUCUGGCGCAUCCUUACCUCGACGAGGGAAGACUCAGAUAUCACUCGUGCAUGUGCACGUGCUGUUACACGACCAGCGCAGGCAUGAGACAGUACACGGGGGACUUCGAGCCAGCCACGUCUCAUCCCUUCGACGAUCUCUGGGAGCGGAAACUCACCACCGUGCAGCAGGUGAAAGAGGAAAUGCACAAAUUUAUAGCGGAACAGCUGAACACGUCGCGCGUGCCGCUCUGCAUAAAUCCGCAGUCCGCGGCGUUCAAGAGCUUCGCAAGUUAGGGCAAGCCGAUCGCCGACCCAGCGCCCUGCGCCGCGUAUACGUACACGUUACUACUCCAACCAGUACCGAAUCAGCUAUCUACCACUGUCAGCUACUAUCGACUACUACCGCUAUCGUCUACUACUACUACUACCGCUACUACCGCUACUACUACUACCAAUCGUGUUACGUCUCCUCCUGAACGAACCGAACAAACAGAGAGUCAGCUCUAGUCGGCGCGACCUCGCUCGCAGAGCUCCACGGUGGCUCAUCCCUCGGAAUUGCCACCCUCUCCUCACCAAUGGGAAUAAAAAUCUUCUCCGAAAAUCGCGAACUCUCGAUGGAUUUUUGAGACAGAGAAAGAGAGAUGUAAUAACGAGAGACAGACUCACACACAGACACAGAGAAUCGCGCACAACCAACGGAAGAGCGAAAUCGUAACCCGGGAGAAUAAACGAUAGAAAGAGAGUGAGACAGAGGGGGAGAUAAAGAUAGAGCGUAGAAAAAGGAUCCACGAGGAAGGAAGCGAUGAGAAGUUGGGUCUGGGGGUGGGCAAGGAUGAGAAGAAAAGGAAACGCAGGAGAAGAGCCAAGAGAGACAAUAGACUGCCGAGCACUGUAGCCUCAAUUUUCGACUAGCCGAUAUAUACAUAUAUAUAUAUACAUAGACGUGUAUGUAUAUAGAUAUCUCUAUACUAUAUAUAUAUAUAUUAUUAUACAUAACGCUGUAUACAUACGAGGGAGAGAGAGAGACAGAGGGAGCCUAGGAGGAAGGACACACGAGUAGCCAAUUAUCGACGAGGGAGCAGCCGAUCACAAGCGAUCGGUAUCAUUUUUCUUGGGGGUUCGAGAGUGUUCACCGACCGAACCGAAAACGGUGUCGGAUACCGAACCAGGGGGAGACGAAAGCGAGAGGAGAGCGUGUUUAGUCUGUAAGGGAGCGUCGAAGAGACGGGCCAGUCUUAUUUUUUUUUUCUUCCUUUUUUUUGUUUUCUUUUUAGAUUUUUCACGCGCCGGGAGGAAGGCGGCCGCGGACCCCCUCUUUUAGGAAGAACCUGUACCCCCUCUCCUAUUCGAUUUUAACGUGUUUUUGCUGGAUAACAGAAGACGAGGGAAACGUUGAGUGUAGAGCAGAAAAACUUAGAGGUGCAAUUCAUGGACGAUUUGGUAUAUGUGCGAGGUGUGAUUACUUGUAUGUCUUAAACAAGAUGUUAUCAUGUUUUUGUAGAGUCAUCUUCAGGAUCUCCUACAGUUGAAUUUAUCGAAUAAAUUCAUAAGUCUGCUGAUCACUUCAAAACCGAGACCUGCGAUUAAGACUAAAUUGGAUUUUUGAUACCUGAGAAUUACGACGAUAUUUGCAAUGGAAACUCUAUCGAGUUAUUCAAAUAAAAACGUAUGGAAACUUAUAUAUAUAUACUAUGUACAUAGAGUUAAAAGAAAGUGUGUAAAUAUUGAACUACGAUAUAAUCUUUUUUGCUUGAAUAAUAUCGUGAAACUCGUUGUUGAAGAAACGUAGAAGAUGUGUAUGUGAAUCUAUCGGACCUAACACCACUUAAAUUUAAUGAGUAGUGCAAUGUACGUACGAACAUCGUCGCAAUUUUCAAAUAUCAAAUAUCUGUUUUGUUUCCAAUCACAGCCUUUUACUUGAUAGCGAUCAUUUCCAUUCUUUUCAUGUAUUUAUUCAGUAAAUUCGACAACAGUCUUCUUGAAAAAUUUCACCUCUGGGAACUGUACUAUUUUUUCUAUUAACGAAGUCCACUGAAUAAGGGAUCUCUAAACUCAUCGAGCAUCUACAUUUAAUAUUCGAAUGGAUUCUUCACCAUCCAGCAAGAACGGUCCAAAAUAAAAUGGAGACGAGUUAGGUUUUCUUAUAGAUAAACUAUCUACUUUCAAUUGCGCGAAGAGAUCUGGAAACAUUGUCAUGUAAUCGAGGAGUGGUUCACUAUGUUCUCGUAUGCCUUUGUAGUGAAAUGGCAGUUCACAACUAAACUCGCACGCGAAGAAAAGUAGAUACUAGCUUCCUAAGCAAGCGAAAAAAUCGACUAGACCAGAGCGAAAGGUUCCAGGAACCUCUAUAGAAUUGCACUCGACUCCUGAGUCGAUUGUUUCGCUUACGCCUGGACCAAAAUAGCGAACGAGAGGGCACAAGUUGAGCCCCUUUCCUCCCCUCUAGAUUUUAUUGUCGGGAACGUUCUGCAAUCCGAUUCUUCGUCCAAGAAAGAAGCCGACCGGAACAGAAGACAUAAGGACGCGCCUAACUUCGAGGAGCUCCUAACUUCGAGGACAAGUCUUGCCAGGAUCUCCAAGGAGUCGAGGAUCGCGAUCCCUCGAGGACUUUCGCGGUUUUCAACGCCAAUCUUCGCUGCGAGGAUUGGUCGGUUGUAAAGAUCGACCUCGGAGGGAGCCUAGAUUCGAUUCGAGUUCUUCAGGGUUGGCUGAACAGGUUGCUAGCCCUCCUGGCAAGGGUAACAGACGUAACGAUGUCUCUGUUCGAACGAUAACCGCGAAUCGGGGUUGUUGCACCCUCGUAGCCACGUCAAAUGGCCCUGUCGUCGCGACUCGAUGAAAGGUUACGUCUGCGACCCCUGUGAGUCGGUCGACUCGAGCGGAACAACUUAUUCUGCGUCGCGUUUAGUUUGAUUAGCGAACUUCUGUCCUGUUCUGAGUUUUCGGUAGAGAGACGCUCCAAUCGCGGAGACAUCGCGGCGGAAACGUCGACUCGAACAGGACUCGAUCCGCCUUGGAUCGCGAUCGAGCGACUUCUCUAGCUAUCUUUCAGGAAGCUUCUGUCCAGGAAUGCUCAAGAGUCGCGUGGAUCCUCAGAACUCUCGCACGGUCGUAGAUCGCGCGAUUCGUUUCGUUAAUUAAGAAAACUACGCUCGUAUCCUCGAGAGCAUAGGGUCUCCGAGAACCCUCCUCGCGUAAAUAGCUAUUCUACGUUUAUAGUUUGAGUGCGUAAAAGUGCUUCCGUGCGAGAUCCUUGGUUUUGGCUAUCCAGGCCCAACGAUCGCGAACUUUCCUUCCUUCGAUCCUGUUUUGCGUUUGAACGAACGUCCCACGAUCCCGAUGGCGCGUCCUUCCUUCGGGGGACGACGAACCAUCGUCGAGCGACCAUCACCGUUUCAGGUGAACGUUUCCUUUCCCGUUUAUUUCGAUUCAGACGCAACUCCCAGGCCAAACGAAGGACGCACGGGUACCCAUUAGUUACGUUCUGAGUGUGAUUUUAGUUUAAGGAACUUAGGUAGCCAGUAGCUCGCGGGGAUCGCUCAAUGGCCCCCUUAGGUAGCGAUAUUUAGCUGUAGCGGAUACUUUUGAUUUUGUAAAUGAACCGUAAACACAAGGCACACACCCACAGAGGCAGACAUGUGUUCUCUUUUUUACGCAGACUAAUUUCUACUAAGGAUCCCGUUGCGAGGAUCGAUAACAAUGUAAUCGUUUAAGUACUUUUUAGCGUACCGCGUCGAGGCGGAGGGAAAAAGACAGACUUUCGAGGGAAAGAGAGGGGACAGAAUCGAACUGAUUUUUCAAAGGAUCCGUAGAUCAUUUUUUGUUUGUUUGUUCGAUUCGAGGACUCCGAAGGGAGAUCGUCGCGAGGACGAUCGUCUUUUGUGAAUACACCCUGAUAUGUUUAGUAGACGCACACUACCGCUCGGACGCCUCGGGACGAUCGUGUUUUUCAGGAGAAUAUUUUCUUAUUCGAUAAGUCGAUGGUUAGAGUAACGUGCGUUUCAGACAACUUAACCGAGGUUUCAGCUAUCCACAAAUUAAUCAAUGCCGCGACGGUUUCAAAUGCAUUUCGAACGCGUUAAACAAAAUCGUAUCGAUCAUUUUGUUGCCAAGUACCUGGCACCUCGCCCAAUCAUCGAACGUGUACCUAUCGUCUUAGGUAUCGGAAGAUUAAAAUUCCUACCGAGUUUUGUUAGAAAAAAUACACAUCCUCGGGCUUUCGAGCAGCAACGUAGAUUCUUAGCGAUUGUUCGAGCUCGCGGCUCCCUUCGUCGGGGUACCUCUUGUAAUUAACCAUGUAACGAGUCGGUCUCGAGCGAAAGAGCGCUUCUCUCGUCAUUUGUAAAUAGGUCAUCAGCGCGUUCACCGUGUACAUAAACUUUUAGUAGCUCAUGAAUCGAAUCACCGCAAAAGCGCAUACCGCACCACGCCUGGAAUUCCCGUCGCGUCUGAUCGCAGGACACGCCGCGAUCCUUUCCAGCCGGGAACACUUAAUAGGAAAACUUCUCCGAAACCGCUGGAUCGCAUUUUUUUUUUUUUUUCUUUGUCAAACGACGUCAAACGUGAUCGUCCAGCGUCAGACGCCGCGAGAAUCCGACAUGUUCCACCGGGUCCUAGAAACUUGGACGAACGAAGGUGUUCCUUCAGGACUUUCCCAUGAUUUUAAUGAUCUCGUUGCUCCGUUGUAGAAGGAAUCGUUCGAAAAGAACGCAAAGUCGUUGACUCGAGAUUGAACUUGCAUUUGUACUUGGGGACUGUCCAUAGAUUCGUGCGCAAUUUUUGUGAAAAACGAAACGACGUUGUACAACUUUAAUUAUUGAUUGAGUUUUAAUUCAUAGCGGAUCGUAGGGUUUCGUUUUCGCGAUAGCGUAAGGGUCCAGUUUAGCCUUUCGCUAGGAUUCUUGUAUGUUCGAAGGCAUUAGAAAACAUGUUUAUAUUAAUUAACGCGAUAAGUGUAUAGAUGUAGUUGGUAUCGAUCGAUAAUAUUCAACGAAAUUUUUCCUUAACCCAUUAAGUACUACGUUAUUGUUUUUCAAUGUACUAUAUGUUAGAAAUUCAUUUCUUAAUGUUAUGGCUUGUACUAUAAGUAGAACUUUAGCACUUAGAAGUAGGUUUAUACAAACAUUUUUUUAUGUAUAACUCGACGUAGUCUUAAUAACGUAGGACCAGAAAGGUCGAACGAACUUCUGCUGAAUACGAUAUUUUUGUAUUCGUGGUACAUUAUUAAUAAGGUUGCAAAAAGUUACAGUGCACUGUGUUCGAGUCCCAAAUCUACACCCUAAAAAUCACGUGGUAUUCCAAUAAAUUCCAACACCGUUUAAAAAACAAUUGGAAAGUCCUCUGCAUAGGACACCGGUACUUAAUGGGUUUCAAAAACUUGGUCAGAGAAAAUUGUACAGAGUUGAAACAGCUAUAAACAAUUUUCCAACCAUGUUCCGCGAACUCAGAGACACGCCAAAUCAAAUGGACGCACGAUUUUAUGGACCGACCCUACAUUUCGCCACUUUUACACAGUUCGUUUUUCUUUUUAUUCCAUUUUAAAUAAAUCCCCCUCCUCCCACCCACUGUCGAACCUCGCGAAAGGCCUGUCGCGUUUUAUUUUACGUUUCGAAUUACGACGUUUUUAAUCGUUCAGAGCCUCUCGCGAGCGCCCCGAAACUUUCGUCCCAAGCUGGUCGAGUCCGACGAAAAACGAAGCGAAUCAAGCCAGAAAAGAAACUCGUUCGUUGCCCCUUUUCCCCAAAGAUAAGUCCUGGAAGAAGAACUCUUCGAUUCCGGUGCAAGUUUCGCGGCGAUCCGAAUUCGCAGUUUAAUUAAUCCCCCCCGGGAGGAAGCGUGGAGAUGAAAAGAGAGAAGAGAGAUCCUUUUAAAGAAAAAGAGAAAAAAAAACAAACAAAAAACGAAACAGUGCGAAUGCGCGGCGUGCGAGUGUGCGAGGGAAUAAUGUACGUAUGCGUGAAAAUUAAUGUUUCCUAUUAAACGAUGAAAAAAAAAAUGAACACAAACACACACAGUCACACACAGAAUUAAUACGUAGAUAAUUACUUAACGGGAAGAUAUGUAAAUACGUAGCUCACUGUAGCUGGUCAGUUGGGCAUUUAACGAGUACCGUCUCGAGAUACGAGACGAGACGAAAAAGUGGUAAACAAAGCAAAACAAAAAAAAAAAUGAAAAAUCAUAAAUACAGAGUAGGAGGUGAACCUCUCUCUACGUCGCGCUUACACAUUCACAAACACACACACACACACUCAUACACGUGAAAAUACACAAAGGCACACGCGCGGUGUAUACGCAGGCAUUUUGUUCGGAUAUAUACGCGUUUGAAACUUAUCGCGUGCGUCAGCGUUGGUCUCUCUCGACAGAGAGCCUCGAACAAAGACGGAAACAAUACCGGAAGUCUAGGUGAUAUAAUGCAUAUAAGUCGUAAGUUACCUAUAGAUAACGAGUAAUUAAGCGACAAGACAAACAAUCAAACAAAAACAAAAAAAUAAAAAAAACUCCACGUAUACUCCACACUAGCGAAUAUGCCUUCAUUAUGGAAAGUGGCUGGCACGAGAUGCACCGAAACAAAUAAAGUUGCUACGGAUCGAGAGAGAGAGAGAGAGAGUAAACGAAAAAAAGAAUAGGAAAAAAAAAGAGAAACCACGAGAAGAAGAAAGCACGGAGACGACUGCAAACGAUGCUUGUUUUCUUUUUUCCUCUGGUCUCCAGAUUUGGCACAUCGUUUACCGUCACCCUCGCUCUUCCCUCGACCCUUCUUUUCUUUUA